UAAUCCAUAGAGCCAAAGUCAUGUCAAUAGAAGAAACAAAAACGUCUAUCAAGUGUGAUGUUUAAUGAUUCGAGUAGCUGCGUCCUUAGCAACUUUUGGACGAUUAGAAGAAGAAGAGGAAAUAGCGGCGUUGGACGUAUUUACCGCUUCUGUUUUGGGAUUCACAUUUUUUUCAGCUUGCUGGAUUUUGCUAAUGUAAUUUUUAACACGCUGCAAUUCUUGCAUUACGGGUCGCUCACUAGCGUCUAUUCCAUUUAACUUAUAAAAAGAAUAGAGAGUAGAAUUAAUGGCAUAGGACAUGGUGAUAUAUAACUUUGCUUGUUCCAAUUCGGAUUUUCCUUCAGCAAGUUCAAAAAUUGAUUCAGCAUCCUUCAAUGGUUUAAGAACAUCUUCCACGUUAUCUAAUUGCUUAUUUAAUCUUUCAAACAGCUCAGAAUACUCUGGGUCCAUGUUUAACAGACAGAGAGACAGGCUGUGGAUAUAUGCGAAUUCUACCUUCUGUCCUCAAUUCCAAAAUGUAGAAAAACGUCGAAAGCAGGUAUGUAACACAAUAUACCGUGCCC